CCUACGGGGGGCAGCAGUGGGGAAUAUUGCACAAUGGGGGAAACCCUGAUGCAGCGACGCCGCGUGAGUGAAGAAGUAUUUCGGUAUGUAAAGCUCUAUCAGCAGGGAAGAAGAAGGACGGUACCUGAGUAAGAAGCCCCGGCUAACUACGUGCCAGCAGCCGCGGUAAUACGUAGGGGGCAAGCGUUAUCCGGAUUUACUGGGUGUAAAGGGAGCGUAGACGGCGAAGAAAGUCUGAAGUGAAAGCCCGCGGCUCAACCGCGGAAUGGCUUUGGAAACUUUUUUGCUGGAGUACCGGAGAGGUA
rnacentral:rRNA from 1 species